rnacentral:rRNA from 1 species
UACGAAGGGUGCAAACGUUGCUCGGAAUCAUUGGGCGUAAAGCGCACGUAGGCGGCCUCGCAAGUUGGAUGUGAAAUCCCUCGGCUCAACCGAGGACGUGCAUCCAAAACUGCUUGGCUUGAGUACUGAAGAGGAUCGCGGAAUUCCCGGUGUAGAGGUGAAAUGCGUAGAUAUCGAGAGGAACACCUGCGGCGAAGGCGGGUUGCUGGGCUGACACUGACGCUGAUGCGCGAAAGCUAGGGGAGCGAACGGG